rnacentral:rRNA from 1 species
ACAUGUCUUUUUAGAAUUUAAUAUAAAGUCUGGCCUGCCCACUGAAUAAUAUUUGAAGGGCCGCAGUAUUUUGACUGUGCAAAGGUAGCAUAAUCAUUAGUCUUUUAAUUGGGGGCUGGUAUGAAUGGUCGGAUGAGAUAUAAGCUGUGUCAAAAAAAUUAUUAUUUGAAUUUAACUUUUUAGUCAAAAGGCUAAAAUAAAUUUAAAAGACGAGAAGACCCUAUAGAGCUUUAUAUAAUAAAUAUUUAAAUUAUUAAGAUUUAUUAAAUUUAAUUUUUAUAUUGUAUUUUGUUGGGGUGACAAUAAAAUUUAUUAAACUUUUAUUUUUAUUUAACAUUAAUUUAUGAUUAUAUGAUCCAAUUUUAUUGAUUAUAAAUUUAAGUUACCUUAGGGAUAACAGCGUAAUUUUUUUUGAGAGUUCUUAUCGACAAAAAAGAUUGCGACCUCGAUGUUGGAUUAAGAGUAAUUUUGGGUGUAGAAGUUCAAAAUUUAAGUCUGUUCGACUUUUAAAUUCUUACAUGAUC